CUAAAAUUCAUUUUAAAUUCUAUAUAUUUCAAUAUAUCAUUUACAGUAUAUAUUUAUCAAUUAUUUUCAUUUAUUAAGUACUAUAGUAAAAUUCUUUUAAUUAUAAAAGAUUAAACUUAUGAUCAUCAUUCAAUAUUUUUUUUCAACAGACGACUCUUGUUUCCAUUCAAUUAGAAUACUAACUGACGGGGCGAAACAAGCCUUUCCACAGGCUGCUCAUUCCUGCGGACGGAUCAGCCGGAUUGUAGAGGACGGGGAUCGACAGACCGGGCCUCGGAUCAAUACCACCUCUACUCAAAGCCUGAUUGCGGAGUUUGUGACGUCAUCAGCCGUAGGCCAUUCGUAUAUAUAAUUUGCAUGGG
rnacentral:lncRNA from 1 species